rnacentral:rRNA from 1 species
UGGGGAAUAUUGCACAAUGGGCGCAAGCCUGAUGCAGCCAUGCCGCGUGUGUGAAGAAGGCCUCGGUUGUAAAGCACUUUCAGCGAGGAGGAAGGUGGUGAGCUUAAUACGCUCAUCAAUUGACGUUACUCGCAGAAGAAGCACCGGCUAACUCCGUGCCAGCAGCCCGCGGUAAUACGGAGGGUGCAAGCGUUAAUCGGAAUUACUGGGCGUAAAGCGCACGCAGGCGGUUUUGUUAAGUCAGAUGUGAAAUCCCCGGGCUCAACCUGGGAACUGCAUUUGAAACUGGCAAGCUAGAGUCUCGUAGAGGGGGGUAGAAUUCCAGGUGUAGCGGUGAAAUGCGUAGAGAUCUGGAGGAAUACCGGUGGCGAAGGCGGCCCCCUGGACGAAGACUGACGCUCAGGUGCG